rnacentral:sRNA from 1 species
GGGGAAUCAGUUUGGGUGAUUUGGGCUGAGUCACUUCACUUGGCUGAGUAUCAGUGUCCUUGUCUGGGAUCAUCUAAGCUUCUUAGCGGGGCUGUUGUGAGACCCAGAGAUGAAGGAAGGCCCGCUUCUGUCCACACCUGGCCUCUGAUGCCCUCAUUCCCUGCAGGAGGCUGUCUCUCCUUCUAUUCCCGAUGCCCAGCCCCAGGGUCGGCCCUCAGCGGGGUCACAGCCCCCAGAUUAGCCAUUCCGUUGUAAUAACAACCUCCGUUUCCUUCUUGUCUUUUUUCCCAGGCCUGCCAACCACAGGGGCCAGCUGGAGAUCAGCAGCCUGGUGCCCCUGGGGCCCAAGUAUGUGGUGAAGUGGAACACGGCGCUGCCCCAGGUGCAGGUGGUGGAGGUGGGCCAGGACGGUGGCACCUAUGACAAGGACAAUGUGCUCAUCCAGCACUCAGGCGCCAAGAAGGCCUCCGCCUCAGGGCAGGCUCAGAAUAAGGUGUACCUCGGCCCCCCACGCCUCUUCCAGGAGCUGCAGGACCUGCAGAAGGACCUGGCCGUGGUAGAGCAGAUCACGCUUCUCAUCAGCACGCUGCACGGCACCUAUCAG